UACGUAGGGUGCAAGCGUUAAUCGGAAUUACUGGGCGUAAAGCGUGCGCAGGCGGUUAUGCAAGACAGGUGUGAAAUCCCCGGGCUCAACCUGGGAACUGCCUUUGUGACUGCACGGCUAGAGUGUGUCAGAGGGGGGUAGAAUUCCACGUGUAGCAGUGAAAUGCGUAGAGAUGUGGAGGAAUACCGAUGGCGAAGGCAGCCCCCUGGGAUAACACUGACGCUCAUGCACGAAAGCGUGGGGAGCAAACAGG
rnacentral:rRNA from 1 species